rnacentral:rRNA from 1 species
GACAGAGGGUGCUAGCGUUGUUCGGAAUUACUGGGCGUAAAGAGCGCGUAGGCGGUUUAACAAGUUGGAAGUGAAAGCCCCGGGGCUUAACCUCGGAAUUGCUUUCAAAACUGUUAAGCUAGAGUGUGGUAGAGGAUGAUGGAAUUCCUAGUGUAGAGGUGAAAUUCUUAGAUAUUAGGAGGAACACCGGUGGCGAAGGCGGUCAUCUGGGCCACUACUGACGCUGAGGCGACGAAAGCGUGGGGAGCAAACAGG